UCCGAUAUGGUGUAACGGCUAACAUUGCCGCCUUUCAUGUGUUUAGUUGCGAUGUCAUUAGACGCGGCAGCUCGGGGUUCGAUUCCCCGUAUCGGAA